rnacentral:snRNA from 1 species
GUGCUCGUUUCAGAAGAACAUACACUAAAAUUGGGAUAAUACCGAGAAGACUAGCAUGGCCUCUGUGCAAGGAUGACAUAGACUUUCAUAAUCUGUUCCAUACUUUU